rnacentral:rRNA from 1 species
GACGAACGCUGGCGGCGUGCUUAACACAUGCAAGUCGAACGGAAAGGCCCUGCUUUUGUGGGGUGCUCGAGUGGCGAAAGGGUGAGUAACACGUGAGUAACCUGCCCUUGACUUUGGGCUAACUUCAGGAAAAUGGGGCUAAUAACGGAUAGGAGCUCCUGCUGCAUGGUGGGGGUUGGAAAGUUUCGGCGGUUGGGGAUGGACUCGCGGCGUAUCAGCUUGUUGGUGGGGUAGUGGCUUACCAAGGAUUUGACGGGUAGCCGGCCUGAGAGGGUGACCGGCCACAUUGGGACUGAGAUACGGCCCAGACUCCUACGGGAGGCAGCAGUGGGGAAUAGUGCACAAUGGGCGGAAGCCUGAUGCAGCAACGCCGCGUGCGGGAUGACGGCCUUCGGGUUGUAAACCGCUUUCGCCUGUUACGAAGCGUGAGUGACGGUAAUGGGUAAAGAAGCACCGGCUAACUACGUG